rnacentral:rRNA from 1 species
AUUGAACGCUGGCGGCAGGCUUAACACAUGCAAGUCGAGCGGGGUGAUGGUGCUUGCACUAUCACUUAGCGGCGGACGGGUGAGUAAUGCUUAGGAAUCUGCCUAUUAGUGGGGGACAACAUCUCGAAAGGGAUGCUAAUACCGCAUACGUCCUACGGGAGAAAGCAGGGGAUCACUCGUGACCUUGCGCUAAUAGACGAGCCUAAGUCGGAUUAGCUAGGUGGUGGGGUAGAGGCCUACCAAGGCGACGAUCUGUAGCGGGUCUGAGAGGAUGAUCCGCCACACUGGGACUGAGACACGGCCCAGACUCCUACGGGAGGCAGCAGUGGGGAAUAUUGGACAAUGGGGGGAACCCUGAUCCAGCCAUGCCGCGUGUGUGAAGAAGGCCUUAUGGUUGUAAAGCACUUUAAGCGAGGAGGAGGCUCUUUUGGUUAAUACCCAAGAUGAGUGGACGUUACUCGCAGAAUAAGCACCGGCUAACUCUGUGCCAGCCGCCGCCGUAA